AGGAACUUAGGAUUAACACUAAACCGGAGACCUUCAAAGUCACAAAUAAGAGCCAUGACCUCUUAGUACCUG
rnacentral:tRNA from 1 species